rnacentral:misc_RNA from 1 species
CCAAUAGCGUAUAUUAAAGUUGUUGCAGUUAAAAAGCUCGUAGUUGAAUUUCGGGGUUAGUAAGUUGGUCGUGCCACUGGUAUGUACUGGCUUUACUGAUUCCUCCUUCUUGUAGAACCGUAAUGCCAUUAAGUUGGUGUUGCGGGGAAACAGGACUGUUACUUUGAAAAAAUUAGAGUGUUUAAAGCAAGCUAACGCUUGAAUACAUUAGCAUGGAAUAAUGAAAUAGGACGUUCGAUCCUAUUUUGUUGGUUUCUAGGAUUGACGUAAUGAUUAAUAGGGAUAGUUGGGGGGAUUAGUAUUCAAUUGUCAGAGGUGAAAUUCUUGGAUUUAUUGAAGACUAACUACUGCGAAAGCAUUUGCCAAGGAUGUUUUCAUUAAUCAAGAACGAAAGUUAGGGGAUCGAAGACGAUCAGAUACCGUCGUAGUCUUAACCAUAAACUAUGCCGACUAGGGAUCGGAUGAUGUUAAUUUUAUAAUGACUCAUUCGGCGCCUUACG